GGUGAACGCUGGCGGCGUGCUUAAGACAUGCAAGUCGAACGGCAGUCUUCGGACUGUAGUGGCGCACGGGUGAGUAACGCGUAACUGACCUACCCCAAAGUCGCGGAUAACGAUUCGAAAGAAUCGCUAAUACGUGAUGUGCUGUCAGAUUGUGUUCUGCCAGUAAAGAUUGAUUGCUUUGGGAUGGGGUUGCGUUCCAUCAGCUAGUUGGGGGGGUAAAGGCCCACCAAGGCGACGACGGAUAGCGGGCCUGAGAGGGUGGCUGGCCACAGGGGCACGGAGUCACGUGUCCCACUCCUACGGGAGGCAGCAGUUAGGAAUCUUCCACAAUGGGCGAAAGCCUGAUGGAGCGACGCCGCGUGAGGGAUGAAGGUCUUCGGAUCGUAAACCUCUGAAUCAGGGACGAAAGACACUUCGGUGGGAUGACGGUACCUGAGUAAUAGCACCGGCUAACUCCGUGCCAGCCGCCGCAGUAAGAC
rnacentral:rRNA from 1 species